rnacentral:rRNA from 1 species
GACGAACGCUGGCGGCGUGCCUAAUACAUGCAAGUCGAGCGGACCGAACAGGAGCUUGCUCUUGUUCGGUUAGCGGCGGACGGGUGAGUAACACGGGGGUAACCUGCCCGUAAGACCGGGAUAACUCCGGGAAACCGGAGCUAAUACCGGAUAACACCGAAGACCGCAUGGUCUUUGGUUGAAAGGCGGCUUGGGCUGCCACUUACGGCUGGGCCCGCGGCGCAUUAGCUCGUUGGUGAGGUAACGGCUCACCAAGGCGACGAUGCGUAGCCGGCCUGAGAGGGUGACCGGCCACACUGGGACUGAGACACGGCCCAGACUCCUACGGGAGGCAGCAGUAGGGAAUCUUCCGCAAUGGACGAAAGUCUGACGGAGCGACGCCGCGUGAGCGAAGAAGGUCGUCGGAUCGUAAAGCUCUGUUGUUAGGGAAGAAGAAGCGUCGUUCGAACAGGGCGGCGCGGUGACGGUACCUAACGAGAAAGCCCCGGCUAACUACGUG